rnacentral:rRNA from 1 species
GAUGAACGCUGGCGGCGUGCCUAAUACAUGCAAGUCGAGCGAACGGACGAGAAGCUUGCUUCUCUGAUGUUAGCGGCGGACGGGUGAGUAACACGUGGAUAACCUACCUAUAAGACUGGGAUCACUUCGGGAAACCGGAGCUAAUACCGGAUAAUAUUUUGAACCGCAUGGUUCAAAAGUGAAAGACGGUCUUGCUGUCACUUAUAGAUGGAUCCGCGCUGCAUUAGCUAGUUGGUAAGGUAACGGCUUACCAAGGCAACGAUGCAUAGCCGACCUGAGAGGGUGAUCGGCCACACUGGAACUGAGACACGGUCCAGACUCCUACGGGAGGCAGCAGUAGGGAAUCGUCCGCAAUGGGCGAAAGCCUGACGGAGCAACGCCGCGUGAGUGAUGAAGGUCUUCGGAUCGUAAAACUCUGUUAUUAGGGAAGAACAUAUGUGUAAGGAACUGUGCACAUCUUGACGGUACCUAAUCAGAAAGCCACGGCUAACUACGUG